rnacentral:misc_RNA from 1 species
CAUAAAUUGAAAACCUAACUCAAACCAAAGGCAACUUGUGCUUCUAAAAAAAUAAAUUGAUUGAAUCAUACAUAUUGGAAAUAACAGAGUUUAUACAUGGCAAUGAAUACAAAAUUAAAUCAGUUAAUUUCAUAAAACAGCAGAUUGUUCCGAGGCAAAGCGAUUAAAUUCACCGAGAAAGAGGAAGUCAUUCUGUAUCCAGAACUUCAUCUUCAUCUUCUUCCAGGAUGUAAACCAAUGCACGCUUUCUUGCAGCAAAAACACAUGCUACGCCUCUAGAUGCACUAACUGCCAAUGGAGCUACUACAGAAUGAGGAAUGUAGCGAACCUUUUCAUUCUCCAUUUGCAGCUGCACAACAGCAUCCUUAAGUUGAUGCGAUUUCCAAAUGUUCAGCAAACUGGAUCUUGAAAGAGAUAUAAAUGGAAGGUCUCUAGCUUGCACAACCAUCAUACAAGCAUCUCCAGAACUUUCAGAAGAUGUGACAGUCCCAUUUAAUAGCAAGACAAUGUGAGUAUCCUUAUAUAAAGACAGAUCGACGCAGUCAUAACCAGCAGGAAUAGACAACAAUACAGCUUCCAAUGAUGUAUGGCUGUUCUUUGAACUUCUUGAGUCACACAUAAAUCCUCUCAUUAUGCCUAUACAAUUUGAAAUAUUUGAAGAAGGUUCUUUUGGUACUUGGAAGCAUGUGUAAUCAACAAGGCCAUGUUGACCAGUCUUAUAAGAUGAAACUAUUUGGGAGACUUCCUCAUAGUAUGAUAUUGACAUAGGAAUUGUCAUGGACAUAGAUGCUGAUGAAGAUGGAAGUGGAAACAGUGGCAGCAAAUCCUCACAGAGUAUUUUUCUUGAGAUUGUCGUGAAGGGCAUCUGAAAAGCCUCCUUGAAGCUGUACUCCAUUUCUUGAAAUUCUUUAGCUAAUGUCCUUCGCAGAUAUUCAAUAUCUGAAAAUCCUCCAAAAUGAACUAAUUCUUUGACUCUUUGCAUUGUUUCCGAGCCUACUUCAAUAUUAUGAACUUCAGAAAGUUCCAGAAACUGCCUAACUGGAUCUUGAUCAUAUAAGAACUUCAAGAAUGUGACAACAAGUUCACUGUUAUAUGGCAGAAGCUGAUCACUUGGUUCUUGCAUAAGAAGCUUUAUACACUUAAGAAGCCAAUUGAAGAAAUUUGAAAACUGCUGCUCCACAGAUGCAAGGACCCUCAUAAACCGUUCAAUUUGUACUAACAUCAUGCCAGAUUUUUCUGUCGCAUUAUUGAUAAGCAUCUCGUCCAAACCAAUACCUUGGUAGCGUGCACGCCAUCUCGAAAGUGCUCUUAGUUCUCCCAUCCUAAAUGCAAUAAUUUCUGCAGCAGGCUGCAUGUGAUCAAGAACAAUAUGCUGAAGUUCUUUUCCAGCACCACAAACAACCUUUGACACACGCUUCACACCCACUUCACCAAGAGUAUUAACCAGAAAUUGGUGUACUGCCGGACUAGUCCGAGCACCACCCAAAACGCUUAGAAACUCCUCUUGGGGACUUGAGUCCAGGGCAUGGUCAAUAAUCAAAGUAGAUAGGGAAUCAAACUUUUCAUGAAACAUGCGCAUGGCAUCUGACCACUGCUUCAUCAUAACUGAUAAUGAUGCCCGGAUAACCUCAGUUAACUCCUCAAUGUUAGAAGCUUGUUGGGCCAACUGAUGGAGCUCAUUUUUCCUAUUAAAAAAUAUAGAUGUAUCAAGCACUAAGCCAUGUGAGCCAUGCAUACCAUGCCCAGCCAUUUGACUUUGUUUUGAUUCAACCAUAUUUCCAUUAAGUUCUCCUGAGCACAUGACAAUCAAACGGCAAAGGUCUUUUGACAAAGCAACCUUGUAGGUGGAAGCAUUCAUUAACUGGCAAGUAGAUUGUUCAUCCACAAAGGGUGCAGGAACAGAAAACUUGUGUAUGUUAAUUUUUCCUAUUGGAAAUAUUCCAAAUAUACUGAAGCAAAUGCUUCCAUCAUUGUCUGCGCUACACAGAACAUUAAAUCGUUGGUAUGAAGAAUUUGACAACUCUUGAUAUGAAUCUUCAUUGUCAUCCAUGAAACCAGCAUCUCCACACACCACACCAGGCGUCCGAGGAGGCCGAGGAGCAGGAGGGAAGAAACGAGGAGUACGGUCUUCAUAAGUUGAGAAGUUAUGAGAACCAUCCUUAUUCAAUUGUCCGUCCUCCUCCCAGUUAAGACACACAACUGCAACCGCAUGAGACUUCAAGCUUCUCAAUAACUUCCCAUUCUCAACAUCAUGCAAGGAAAUGGUUCCAUCUUCAAGCCCAACAGCUAUUGCUUUACCAUCAGGACGCCAACACAAGGAUGUAAUACACCUUCCAGGGGAUAUGGUCCACAACCUCUGCCAGUUGAAUCUAUGAAGCAAAAUCUUAGAAUCCUCUGUCACCAUGGCCAGUAAAUCCUUCUCUGGGUUCCACUCCGCAAUUUUGAUCUGAGAGGUGACGGGUUUGUCAAAUUGAAGCUGAAAUGGAAGCAGCCGCUGCUCCUCAUCUGUUUCCAUGACUAUCACUGAAGCUUUAACAAGUACUGGCACUUGAAGAUGAUAAUGAGACGUUAUAGAAGGAAAAUUUUAGUAAGAAAGAAAUGCAAAUGAAAUUUGCAUUAUAAAAACCCUAAAGAAAGUAGAAAAGCUGCUCAAAGUGUCGAAUGGUGAGGGAGAAGGUGCCAAAAUGGCGACAGCGACGUCGUUUCGUUUGUUGACUGGAUGUACGAGUAGAAGAAGAGCAAAGAGCUACCUGGUUGCUGCUAAAAUAGCUGACGCGCCCGAACUCGAACAUGAAGCGGAGAAAGA